CCACGGAGCAGGAGAGAAAGAGCCCCGUCUUCAACCAAGGAGUGUGGUACGAGAAAAAAAGACGCAGUUCGCGGACACUGUCCAGCUCAAAGAGAUUGUUUCUGGAUCCGUACUCGUCCUCCGAAGACAGCGACAAUGACGACAACUUCCCAAACACACAGACUCAGUGACACACACACAGACACACACACACAGACUCGGUGACACACACACAGACACACACACAGACACACACACAGACACACACACAGACACA